rnacentral:misc_RNA from 1 species
AUAUUAUAUCAUCCCUCUUCUUGAGUGGUUUGGAUGUGGGGGGUUUGCUGGCCUCUUGAGAGGUUCAGCUCUCCUGAAAUACAUUAGCAGAACGACCUGUUUCAUUCAUUGGUGUGAUAACUAUCUACGCUACUGGGUGUGCGAGGCAGUUCAGCUUCUUAACGGUCCUUGGACAAUUUAUA